rnacentral:rRNA from 1 species
UACGAAGGGGGCGAGCGUUGUUCGGAUUUACUGGGCGUAAAGGGCGCGCAGGCGGCUCAUUCUGUCAGGCGUGAAAGCCCCGGGCUUAACCUGGGAACUGCGUUUGAUACGGAUGGGCUAGAGUUCGGGAGAGGAGAGUGGAAUUCCCAGUGUAGAGGUGAAAUUCGUAGAUAUUGGGAAGAACACCGGUGGCGAAGGCGGCUCUCUGGACCUGUACUGACGCUCAUGCACGAAAGCGUGGGGAGCAAACAGG